GUCGAGGAAAGUCCGGACUUCACAGAGCAGGGUGAUUGCUAACAGCAAUCCGAGGUGACUCGCGGGAAAGUGCCACAGAAAACAGACCGCCACUCUCGCGGUGGUAAGGGUGAAACGGUGCGGUAAGAGCGCACCAGCACCCCGGGUGACCGGGGUGGCUAGGCAAACCCCACCCGAAGCAAGGUCAAGAAGGCCGUACCGUAGGUGCGGCCGCGCAGGCGUUUGAGGGCUGCUCGCCCGAGUCUGCGGGUAGGCCGCUCGAGGUACCCGGCGACGGUGUGCCCAGAUGGAUGGUCGCCGCCGCGCC
rnacentral:RNase_P_RNA from 1 species